ACAACGUAAUACUGAUUCUCAGGUACAUGCUCGUGGUAACCAUGCUUUAACUAAAAGGCCUGACGAUUUUCUUGAAGUGCCAAAGAACUCUCAGUUGGCUUAUUGUUCAAAUUCUGAGAAUUCAAGUCUUUCUUCCACAAUGGCGAAAUCCAACGUUGAGAACAAGGAGAAUGAAACAGAUGAACAAGUGGCUCGAUUAACAAAGAAAAGCCAGGAAGUUCUGCAUCUUAAAGACGAGUUUAAAACUGCGAAUGAUUUGAAAAAAUCAUUCUUUGACAACAUCUUUGCAAUCAGGGCGUUACACUGACUCAUCGCUCUUGUCGGAGGAAGUGUUUGAGCCCCUUGUUGAUAUGAACAGCGGUGUAUCUCUAAUUCCCGUUGUUUGCCCCGAUGACGAUAAAGGAGUUAGGGUCUAGCUAUGUCAGAUGAAAAUGAGCGAUUUACUGUUGCACCUGAGACGUCGCGACAUUUAGAAGAUACUUCAUUAUUUUAUCGACAAGAAUUUCUAACGAGUUGACCAUUUUAACUGAGGUGGUAAUUUAUGUUGUUUUCAGUAUUUACACUGAUGAAGACGUCGAGAAUGAUGCAAGUUUAGCAAUAGAGGCAACUGUUGCAGCGAUAUGUGCCACACGUGAUGGUAGCAUAGAAAUUAAUGAUUACUCAGGAUCUUCAUUGGUCAGAACCAUGGGUGAUGGUUGUAUGAAUCCAUCAGAGGAAUAUCCAUCAGGCAAAGAAAUGACUUCAGAGGAAUUAAAACAGGCGAUUGUAUCGAUGAUGUUAAGAAAAGAUGAAGUUGAAGAACGUAACAGAUCGUUACAACAACAUUUGGAAAAGAGAUGAUGAAGUCAGCUUCUCUUCGUCUUCAAUUAGAAGAUUUAAAAAGAGCUAUGUCGUCGAAAGAUGAAGAAAAUUGCGUCGCUCUUAACGGCUUGAAAAGGUUAGGACAUUGAGAACUCUGCAUUUUCGUUAAUCAAAGAUGUCUGUUGACCUGUUGACCAACUAAAGAAAUACGUGGGUGCUGUUCAAUCGUUGAAAAGAAAUGACAUUAUGGAAGAAGCUCCAGAAAAUGAAAGACUUUUUCCAUCAUUCUUUCUCCGGAAUCUGACGUCGACGAAGUGAG